rnacentral:lncRNA from 1 species
GGAAGAGAAUGAGGGGACUUUGGGCAAGCAUGGUAUGGACGGCCGUACAAGGCCGUACAUGGCCGUACCGUUCGUACCAGAUGCCUCGACCAGAAGUUACCUAACCUUGACCAAGUGAAACGGUAACAAGCAUAUGUUACCUUGAGGGCUUAGUGGAGAAGAUAAGACCGGUGAAAGGAUAAGGGAUGCGCGGUGCCAGGCUGGAAAGCUAAAGCACCUUUAGUCCAAGAUGCCAUAAGCGUGUGAUGCAUCCUAGUGGUUGAUUUGAAUCCAUGGCCUUGACUCCACACGGUUUAAUAGUGCCCAUUUCCUCUCUUGUAAACCCUUGUGUCCUUCUUAUAAAUAUGUAACCUCACUCAUUAAUAAAAAUCAAGCAAGUUAUGAGUCUUUCUUAGUCUUUACUCUCACAAU